CAUCAAAGAGCUCAGAAGAGCAGGAUCAGAAAUCAGGGAGCCUCACAGCGUUGGAACGGUUCAUCAUCAGCAGGAGAAAUCUGUAAGUGUCCUACAAACCAUGUUUAGCUCUGGAGCAACAAUGACGAUUCACCUACACAAACAGUGAACGUUGACUCUUUCAAUUGCUUUCAUAUUUAUUUUUGAAUGAAUUUAUCUGUGCAUAUGUGAAAAAAGAUAAAUGUUAAAAUCUAACAAAAAACAUUUUGAUUGUCUAAUUGUAAUAGAACCAUGAUGAAGGUGUACGUCAUCCUCCUUUUGAUUGUUGGUAAGUUUGCAUUUAUGCAGCAUAAAAUAUAUAAACUACAAAAAAGAACAUAAUUAAACUGCUGUUAUUAAGCUAUAUUAAAAGCUCAAAAAUAAAUAUUUACAAUGUAAAACAGCUUCAGGAACAACACAAACAACAACAAACUCACCAACAACUACAGACAUGACAACUACAGCUGUAGCAACAACUACAACUACAGACACAACAACUUCAGCUGCACCAACAACUACAACAACUACAGCCACUCCAACAACUACAACAACUGCAACAAGUACCACAACUACAUCAACAACUACAGCUGCUCCAACAACAACAGCAACUACUACAUCUACACCACCACCAACAACAACUACAGCUGCACCAACAACAACAUCAACUACAACAACCACAACUGCUCCAACAACUACAACCACAGCUACAACCACUACAGCUGCACCAACAACUACAACUACAGAUACAACAACUACAGCUGCACCAACAACUACAGCUGCACCAACUACUACAACAACUACAGCUACUCCAACAACUACGACAACUACAGCUGCUCCAACUACAACAACCACUGCCACAACAACUACAACAACUACAGCUGUACCAACAACUACAGCUGCAGCAACUACUACAACAACAGCUGCUCCAACAACUACGACAACUACAGCUGCACCAACAGUAACCGCCACAGCUACACCAACAAUAACAACCACCACAGCUGCACCAAACACAACAACCACCACAGCUACACCAACAAGUACAGCAACUACAGCUGCACCAUUAACUACAACAACCACCGACACAACUACAACAACUACAUCUACACCACCAACAACAACAACUACAGCUGCACCAACAACCACAUCAACUACAACAACCACAACUGCUCCAACAACUACAACCACGGCUACACCGAUAUCUACAACCACUACAGCUGCACCAACAACUACAACUACAGAUACAACAACUGCAGCUGCUCCAACUACAACAACCACAGACAUAACAACUACAACAAUGACAGCUGCUCCAACACCUACAACAACUACAGCUGCAACAACAACAUUCACCACAGCUACACCAACAACUACAACAACUACAGCUGCACCAUCAACUACAACAACCACAGCUGCACCAACAACCACAACAACCACGGACACAAUAACUACAGCUGCUUCAACAGCUACAGCUGUACCGACAACUACAACUACAGCUGCACCAACAACAACCACAGCUGCUCCAACACCUACAACAACUACAGCUGCCCCAAUAACUACGACAACUACAGCUGCACCAACAACAACCACCACCACAGCUUCACCAACAACUACAGCUUUACCAUCAACUACAACAACCACAACUGCACCAACAAUUGCAACAACCACAGACACAACAACUACAACAAAUACAGCUCCUCCAACAACUACAACUGCUCCACCUACUACAACAACUACAGCUGAACCAUCAACUACAACAACUACAGCUGCUCCAACAACUACAGGUGCUUCACCGACUACAACAACUACAGCUGCUCCAACCAGUACAACAACUACAGGUGCUCCAACAACUACAACAGCUACAGCUGCUCCAACAACUACAAGUGCUCCAACAACUACAGCUGCUCCAACAACAGCCACAGCUGCACCAACAACUACAACAACCACAGACACAAUAACUACGACAAAUACAGCUGCUCCAACAACAACAACUACAGCUGCUCCAACAACUACAGGUGCUCCAACAACUACAGCUGCUCCAACAACUACAGGUGCUUCACCGACUACAACAACUACAGCUGCUCCAACAACUACAAGUGCUCCAACAACUACAGCUGCUCCAACAACAGCCACAGCUGCACCAACAACUACAACAACCACAGACACAACAACUACAACAUCUACAGCUGCUCCAACAACAACAACUACAGCUGCUCCAACAACUACAGGUGCUUCACCGACUACAACAACUACAGCUGCUCCAACCAGUACAACAACUACAGGUGCUCCAACAACUACAACAGCUACAGCUGCUCCAACAACUACAAGUGCUCCAACAACUACAGCUGCUCCAACAACAGCCACAGCUGCACCAACAACUACAAAAACCACAGACACAACAACUACAACAUCUACAGCUGCUUCAACAGCUACGACAACUACAGCUGCACCAACGACAACCACCACAGCUACACCAAGAACUACAACAACUACAGCUGCACCAUCAACUACAACAACCCCAGCUGCACCAACAACUACAACAACCACAGACAAAACAACUACAACAACUACAUCUGCACCAACAACUACAGCUGCACCAACAACAACCACAGCUGCUCCAACACCAACAACAAGUACAGCUGCUCCAACAACUACGACAACUACAGCUGCACCAACAACUACAACAACCACAGACACAACAACUACGACAACUACAGCUGCACCAACAAAUACAACAACUACAGCUGCACCAACAACUACAGGUGCUUCACAGACUACAACAACUACAGCUGCACCAACAACUACAGCUACACUAACAACUACAGCUGCACAAACCAGUACAACAACUACAGGUGCUCCAACAACUACAACAGCUACAGCUGCUCCAACAACUACAGCUGCUCCAACAACUAUAGCUGCUCCAACAACAGCUGCUCCAACAACAGCCACAGCUGCACCAACAACUACAGCUACACUAACAACUACAGCUGCACAAACCAGUACAACAACUACAGGUGCUCCAACAACUACAACAGCUACAGCUGCUCCAACAACUACAGCUGUACCAACAACUACAGCUGCACCAACAAUUACAACAACCCCAGCUGCACCAACAACUACAACAACCACAGACACAACAACUACGACAACUACAGCUGCACCAACAACUACAACAACUACAGCUGCACCAACAACUACAGGUGCUUCACAGACUACAACAACUACAGCUGCACCAACAACUACAGCUACACUAACAACUACAGCUGCACAAACCAGUACAACAACUACAGGUGCUCCAAAAACUACAACAGCUACAGCUGCUCCAACAACUACAGGUGCUCCAACAACUACAGCUGCUCCAACAACAGCCACAGCUGCACCAACCACUACAACAACCACAGACACAACAACUACAACAUCUACAGCUGCUUCAACAGCUACGACAACUACAGCUGCACCAACGACAACCACCACAGCUACACCAACAACUACAGCUGCACCAUCAACUACAACAACCCCAGCUGCACCAACAACUACAACAACCACAGACACAACAACUACGACAACUACAGCUGCACCAACAACAACCAACACAGCUACACCAACAAGUACAACAACUACAGCUGCACCAUCAACUACAACAAUUACAGCUGCACCAACAACUGCAGGUGCUUCACAGACUACAACAACUACAGCUGCACCAACAACUACAGCUACACUAACAACUACAGCUGCUCCAACUAGUACAACAACUACAGGUGCUCCAACAACUACAACAUCUACAGCUGCUUCAACAGCUACGACAACUACAGCUGCACCAACGACAACCACCACAGCUACACCAACAAGUACAACAACUACAGCUGCACCAUCAACUACAACAAUUACAGCUGCACCAACAACUACAGGUGCUUCACAGACUACAACAACUACAGCUGCACCAACAACUACAGCUGCACCAACAACUACAGCUACACUAACAACUACAGCUGCACAAACCAGUACAACAACUACAGGUGCUCCAACAACUACAACAGCUACAGCUGCUCCAACAACUACAGGUGCUCCAACAACUACAGCUGCUCCAACAACUACAGGUGCUUCACCGACUACAACAACUACAGCUGCUCCAACAACUACAAGUGCUCCAACAACUACAGCUGCUCCAACAACAGCCACAGCUGCACCAACAACUACAACAACCACAGACACAACAACUACAACAUCUACAGCUGCUCCAACAACAACAACUACAGCUGCUCCAACAACUACAGGUGCUUCACCGACUACAACAACUACAGCUGCUCCAACCAGUACAACAACUACAGGUGCUCCAACAACUACAACAGCUACAGCUGCUCCAACAACUACAAGUGCUCCAACAACUACAGCUGCUCCAACAACAGCCACAGCUGCACCAACAACUACAACAACCACAGACACAACAACUACAACAUCUACAGCUGCUUCAACAGCUACGACAACUACAGCUGCACCAACGACAACCACCACAGGUACACCAAGAACUACAACAACUACAGCUGCACCAUCAACUACAACAACCCCAGCUGCACCAACAACUACAACAACCACAGACAAAACAACUACAACAACUACAUCUGCACCAACAACUACAGCUGCACCAACAACAACCACAGCUACUCCAACACCAACAACAAGUACAGCUGCUCCAACAACUACGACAACUACAGCUGUACCAACAACUACAGCUGCACCAACAAUUACAACAACCCCAGCUGCACCAACAACUACAACAACCACAGACACAACAACUACGACAACUACAGCUGCACCAACAACUACAACAACUACAGCUGCACCAACAACUACAGGUGCUUUACAGACUACAACAACUACAGCUGCACCAACAACUACAGCUACACUAACAACUACAGCUGCACAAACCAGUACAACAGCUACAGGUGCUCCAACAACUACAACAGCUACAGCUGCUCCGACAACUACAGGUGCUCCAACAACUACAGCUGCUCCAACAACAGCCACAGCUGCACCAACCACUACAACAACCACAGACACAACAACUACAACAUCUACAGCUGGUUCAACAGCUACGACAACUACAGCUGCACCAACGACAACCACCACAGCUACACCAACAACUACAGCUGCACCAUCAACUACAACAACCCCAGCUGCACCAACAACUACAACAACCACAGACACAACAACUACGACAACUACAGCUGCACCAACAACAACCACCACAGCUACACCAACAAGUACAACAACUACAGCUGCACCAUCAACUACAACAAUUACAGCUGCACCAACAACUGCAGGUGCUUCACAGACUACAACAACUACAGCUGCACCAACAACUACAGCUACACUAACAACUACAGCUGCUCCAACUAGUACAACAACUACAGGUGCUCCAACAACUACAACAUCUACAGCUGCUUCAACAGCUACGACAACUACAGCUGCACCAACGACAACCACCACAGCUACACCAACAAGUACAACAACUACAGCUGCACCAUCAACUACAACAAUUACAGCUGCACCAACAACUACAGGUGCUUCACAGACUACAACACCCACAGCUGCACCAACAACUACAGCUGCACCAACAACUACAGCUACACUAACAACUACAGCUGCACAAACCAGUACAACAACUACAGGUGCUCCAACAACUACAACAGCUACAGCUGCUCCAACAACUACAGGUGCUCCAACAACUACAGCUGCUCCAACAACAGCCACAGCUGCACCAACCACUACAACAACCACAGACACAACAACUACAACAUAUACAGCUGCUUCAACAGCUACGACAACUACAGCUGCACCAACGACAACCACCACAGCUACACCAACAACUACAGCUGCACCAUCAACUACAACAACCCCAGCUGCACCAACAACUACAACAACCUCAGACACAACAACUACGACAACUACAGCUGCACCAACAACAACCACCACAGCUACACCAACAAGUACAACAACUACAGCUGCACCAUCAACUACAACAAUUACAGCUGCACCAACAACUGCAGGUGCUUCACAGACUACAACAACUACAGCUGCACCAACAACUACAGCUACACUAACAACUACAGCUGCUCCAACCAGUACAACAACUACAGGUGCUCCAACAACUACAACAGCUACAGCUGCCCCAACAACUACAGGUGCUCCAACAACUACAUCUGCUCCAUCCAGUACAACAACUACAGGUGCUCCAACAACUACAACAGCUAAAGCUGCUCCAACAACUACAGGUGCUCCAACAACUACAGCUGCUCCAACAACAGCCACAGCUGCACCAACAACUACAACAACCACAGACACAAGAACUGAAACAUCUGCAGCUGCUUUAACAGCUACGACAACUACAGCUGCACCAACGACAACCACCACAGCUACACCAACAACUACAACAACUACAGCUGCACCAUCAACUACAACAACCCCAGCUGCACCAACAACUACAACAACCACAGACACAACAACUACGACAACUACAUCUGCACCAACAACAACCACCACAGCUACACCAACAAGUACAACAACUACAGCUGCACCAACAACUACAACGACCACAGACACAACAACUACGACAACUACAGCUGCACCAACAACAACCACCACAGCUACACCAACAAGUACAACAACUACAGCUGCACCAUCAACUACAACAACUACAGCUGCACCAACAACUACAGGUGCUUCACAGACUACAACAACUGCAGCUGCACCAUCAACUACAACAACUGCAGCUGCACCAUCAACUACAACAACCCCAGCUGCACCAACAACUACAACAACCACAGACACAACCACUCCAACAUUAACUGCAACUCCAACAUCUACUGCAACUACAACUACAACCACUGCUUCAACGUCUAUAGUAACUUCAACCACUGCUGCUCCAACAUCUACAGCAACUACAACAACAGAUGCUUCAACAUCUACAGCAACUUCAAAAACAGUUGCUCCAACAUUUACAGCAACUACAACAACUGCUCCAACAUCUACAGCAACUACAACCAUAGCUGCUCCUGGACCUGUAUCAACAACUACAGCUGCACCAACAACUGCAACAACUACCACAGCUGCUCCAACAAGUACAACAACUACAGUUGCACCAACAACUGCAACAACUACCACAGCUGCUCCAACAAGUACAACAACUACAGCUGCAGCAUUAACUACAACUACAGCUGCACCAACAACUGCAACAACUACCACAGCUGCUCCAACAAGUACAACUACAGGUGCUUCACCGACUACAACAACUACAGCUGCACCAACAACUACAGCUACACCAACAACUACAGCUACACAAACAACCACUCCAACAUCAACUGCAACUCCAACAUCUACUGCAACUACAACUACAACUACAACCUCUUCUCCAACAUCUAUAGUAACUACAACAACAGCUGCUCCAACAUCUACAAUAACUACAACCAUAGUUGCUUCAGUACCUGCAGUAACUACAACCACAACAAUUGCUCCAACAUCUACAGCAACUUCAAACACAGUUGCUCCAACAUCUACAGCAACUACAGCAACUGCUUCAACAUCUACAGCAACUACAACCAUAGCUGCUCCUGGACCUGCAUCAACAACUACACCUGCACCAACAACUGCAACAACUACCACAGCUGCUCAAACAAGUACAACAACUACAGCUGCACCAUUAACUACAACCACAGCUGCACCAACAACUACAGGUGCUUCACCGACUACAACAACUACAGAUGCACCAACAACUACAUCUGCACAAACAACCACUGCAACAUCAACUGCAACUCCAACAUCUACUGCAACUACAACCACAACCUCUGCUCCAACAUCUAUAGUAACUUCAACCACAGCUGCUCCAACAUCUACAGCAACUACAACAACAGCUGUUCCAACAUCUACAGUAACUACAAACAUAGUUGCUUCAGUACCUGCAGUAACUACAAUCACAACAACUCCUCCAACAUCUACAGCAACUUCAAACACAAUUGCUUCAACAUCUACAGCAACUACAACCAUAGCUGCUCCUGGACCUGUAUCAACAACUACAGCUGCACCAACAACUGCAACAACUACCACAGCUGCUCCAACACGUACAACAACUACAGCUGCACCACUAACUACAACCACAGCUGCACCAACAACUACAACAACCACGGACACAACAUCUACAGUAACUACAACCAUAGUUUCUUCAGUACCUGCAGUACCUACAACCACAACAACUGCUCCAACAUCUACAGCAACUACAACAACUGCUCCAACAUCUUCAGCAACUACAACCAUAGUUGCUCCUGGACCUGCAGGACCUACAACCACAACAACAGCUCCAGCAUUUACAGCAACUUCAGUUGCUCCAACAUCUACCGAAACUACAACAACUGCUCCAACAGCUACAGCAACUACAACUACAACAACUGCUCCAACAUCCACAGCAACUACAACCACAGCUGCUCCAGCAUCUGCACCAUCAGCAGUGACAUCAACUACAGUUGCCUCCUCUGCCAUUACCAACCAAUCGAGUCUACUUAUUUUUCUACUUAUUACAACAUUUAUGUUUUGUUCACAUUAAUUGUUUGAUGUUUUGAUGAUUUUCGGGUAAACUAAGCUGUUUAAGCAGAAACUUUAAUAUUUAUCAUAAAAGUAAUUAUGUGUGUAUAAUCUUGAUUUAAUAAAAUAAAUUCUUGAAUUGUCU
ensembl:lncRNA